CCUACAAAUCUGUAUUUUUUUGAUCUAGCACUAAGCUUAUGUCCAUCAAUAUUUUUUUUAUAAGCAGGGCAACCCCAAAUCUUAAGAUGUUUAAGACUGGGCCUCUUUUUUUUCUAUAUCUCAUAUGGAGUGCUAGAGACAGAUUUGGAUGGCACUUUGCUUAAAACAUAUGCUGCGGCCUCGAGAGCAUAUCCCCAAAAG
rnacentral:lncRNA from 1 species